ensembl:lncRNA
GUUAGAUGUGGCAGCAGGCCUGGCUGCUGGAGAGGCGAAGGACAGUAUAACCCCUACAACAAAAGCAGAAAGAAUACAGAGUAGCAGGCAAUAAAGGAAAUGAUCAACAGAAGAAACAAGCAACUUAGAUGAGAAACACAGUAAGCACUACGGAUGAAGAGACAGUAUAAAUGGAGAAAGAUAGGAAACAAGAAUGCUUUAUGUUGCACCUCUUACAGUCUGUCAAAUUCUGCUAUUUCUUUCUGAGACCUGCUUAUUGCACUGCCUCACAUGUGGGGGUAUUAAGCAACAAAUCUGUUAUCCCAGUUUUGCCCACUGACUCUUCCCCUUUGUUGGAUAUCACAAGCUUGAGUCUGGAUUCAUCUUUUCAUCCUCCCGUCAGGGUCAAAGCAUUGUCAACAUGAUCUUUAACCAUGACCUGAGCUGAGUUAAACUCUUAGGAUAUGACAUCUCAGCCACGUUGCAAGGUGAUGUGAACAUUCUAAUUUUCAUCUCUGCACUGUCAGAGCAUAGUAUCCAGACAGGAGUCUUCAUAGCAAUGUGAGAGUAAGCAUUGCUCAAUAAGCAAUUAUUUUAUGUGGACCUGUGGACUGUCACUGCGGUCUUCAGAGCAACUUAUCUUGAAAUCACCUUUAAAUAUUGAACCUAAGAAAUCAGUUCAGUUUUGCUCUCAGGGAAGGCACAGUAGUUCUGUUAUUGCUGAAAUUCCUGAAAGCAGAAUGCAUUACCUAUGAUUCCUGCAAUGAAGAUUUUCAAUUCCAUUGUAAUAAAAAUCUUACAUUAUAAAACCGUAAAGAAAUAAAGACUUUCACAUGGAAAGAACUGCUUCAUAUUUUAGGAGUUCUAAUUUUUCUAUAUUUGAAUGCAAACCUAUUUCAUAUCUAAUGAAGCAGUUCACAUGGUAGGUCAUUUGGUUUUGCUUUUUUUUCCAUAUUUACUCAUUAGAAGACAAUGAUGGGUACAGAAAAGCAACCUAAACUAACAGUCUUAAAC